rnacentral:rRNA from 1 species
ACUCCUACGGGAGGCAGCAGUGAGGAAUAUUGCGCAAUGGGGGAAACCCUGACGCAGCGACGCCGCGUGGAUGAUGAAGGCCCUUGGGUCGUAAAAUCCUGUCAGUUGGGAAGAAAUGCAUAUUGGCUAAUACCCAUUAUGUUUGACGGUACCAGCAAAGGAAGCACCGGCUAACUCCGUGCCAGCAGCCGCGGUAAUACGGAGGGUGCAAGCGUUGUUCGGAAUUACUGGGCGUAAAGCGCGCGUAGGUGGUCUAUUAAGUCAGAUGUGAAAGUCCCUGGCUCAACUGGGGAAGUGCAUAUGAAACUGGUAGACUUGAGUACUGGAGGGGGAAGUGGAAUUCCCGGUGUAGAGGUGAAAUUCGUAGAUAUCGGGAGGAAUACCGGUGGCGAAGGCGACUUCCUGGCCAGAUACUGACACUGAGGUGCGAAAGCGUGGGUAGCAAACAGGAUUAGAUACCCUGGUAGUC